GACGAACGCUGGCGGCGUGCUUAACACAUGCAAGUCGAACGGAAAGGCCCUGCUUUUGUGGGGUGCUCGAGUGGCGAACGGGUGAGUAACACGUGAGUAACCUGCCCUUGACUUUGGGAUAACUUCAGGAAACUGGGGCUAAUACCGGAUAGGAGCUCCUGCUGCAUGGUGGGGGUUGGAAAGUUUCGGCGGUGGGGGAUGGACUCGCGGCUUAUCAGCUUGUUGGUGGGGUAGUGGCUUACCAAGGCUUUGACGGGUAGCCUGCCUGAGAGGGUGACCGGCCACAUUGCGACUGAGAUACGGCACAGACUCCUACGGGACGCAGCAGUGGGGAAUAUUGCACAAUGGGCGGAAGCCUGAUGCAGCAACGUCGCGUGCGGGAUGACGGCCUUCGGGUUGUAAACCGAUUUCGCCUGUGACGAAGCGUGAGUGACGGUAAUGGGUAAAGAAGCACCGGCUAACUACGUG
rnacentral:rRNA from 1 species